rnacentral:lncRNA from 1 species
CGAGCUUUAGAUACUAUAGUCGGCUUUUAACUCAAGCGGACAAUAAUGUUGGGCUGGGCCUUCCUCACCUUUCGUAACUCAUAUAGUGCAAACCGAUAGUAUUGAGACCGUAUUUGCAGAACAACAUUCCACUAUUGCUGGUCCUAGUUGUCCAAUUAUUCAAAGUCCUAUGGUGACUUCUCCUGUGUCUUCUGUUAUGGUGACUUCUCCUUUGCUAGAAGUAGUGGUA